UAAGGGGAUCCCUUAGGGGAGUGCUGAGGGGAGCCUUUGCCACCCCUUGCUGCUGCUCUGCCCAGGAGAGUGCCUUGGCACUGGGAACUGCACACAGGUUCUGGGGCUUUGCUGGCCCUGGCUGAUGCUGCAACUUAGGAUCUUCUCACAUCCCAUGGAUUUCCAGCCCUUUUUAUUGCCUCUCAUGCAUUUUAUCUUGCAACCCAGAAAUAUCACUAGGUUGCCAUCACUACAGAGGAAGGGACUGAAAGAGAAACGCUGCAGCUGAUGCAGACCAUAGCAUCUGCCUGAUGUCGCCAUUAGAGCUAAGAUAUUGGAUAAGGCACCAAAGGUGGUGGGAUGCAGAUGAGAUCUUCAUGCUCAGGAGUGAUGAGACACUUCAGGAGGAAGGAUCUGAAGAACAGGAUUUCACAGAUGGUGGUGGUGGUUGUUGCUAUUAUUUUAGUCUCCAGGACUAGCCUAAUGGCUUUCCUAGGGGAUUUGCAUUAUCUUCUACCUUCUUCUGGAAACAGUUACGUUAUUUGGAGCCUCUACAGGUAACAGAAUUGGCGGCACAUCCAGUCAAAAAUGUGGAUAUUUUUAUGCUAGCGGAUCUUUAGACCAUUCUAGCCUGAAGCACAAAUGGUGUAUGAGCAUCAAAUUUCACUAAGCAGUUGCACAGUCUCUGAUAUAGAAC